ACAAAGAUAAAAACGCAACGUGUACUGGAUAAAGUAUGCUAGAACCGGUAGGUAGCCCGGUCGUCUCGUUAUUACGAGAUAAGUAACCUUCCCUCCUUGGGUUGUCCGUUCUUUGUGUAA
rnacentral:ncRNA from 1 species